AUUGAACGCUGGCGGCAGGCCUAACACAUGCAAGUCGAACGAGUGGCGGACGGGUGAGUAAUGUCUGGGCAACUGCCUGAUGGAGGGGAAUAACUACUGGAAACGGUAGCUAAUACCGCAUACCAUCAGAUGUGCCCAGAUGGGAUGAGCUAGUUGGUGGGGUAACGGCUAACCAAGGCGACGAUCCCUAGCUGGUCUGAGAGGAUGACCAGCAACACUGGAACUGAGACACGGUCCAGACUCCUACGGGAGGCAGCAGUGGGGAAUCUUGGACAAUGGGCGCAAGCCUGAUGGAGCCAUGCCGCGUGUAUGAAGAAGGCCUUCGGGUUGUAAAGUACUUUCAGCGGGGAGGCGUUACCCGCAGAAGAAGCACCGGCUAACUCCGUGCCAGCAGCCGCGGUAAUUC
rnacentral:rRNA from 1 species